GAAGAUUUUGCUAAAAAGUUUGGCAAUUUGGAACCAGCACAGUUUGUUGAUAUCAUCGCCCUUGCUGGAGACAAGUCUGAUAAUAUUCCAGGAGUUGAUGGCAUUGGGAAUGUGCACGCAGUGGAACUGAUAUCUAAAUUUGGCACGGUAGAGAAUCUGUUGCAGUCGAUUGAUGAGAUUAAGGAAGGAAAAAUAAAGGAGGUGAG